rnacentral:snRNA from 1 species
AAAACCCACGCGUAGCGUGGGUA